GGAGGCCCGGGUACGGGCUCGGGCUCAAGCCCGCGUAAGGCGUAACGGCAGUCGGCAGGCUCCCCGUGAUAAGUCGGUGGAUCUCACGUCCACACUCAACGUUGCUGCUCUUGUCUCCAUGAUUCCAUUCCAUUCCAUGAAGCCCUCUCGUGUAUAACAAACUAUUAACCAAUUACCCAAUUUUGCAUGUAUUAUGCUUGGACAUGGUCCAGUCAUGUUCAUUUGAUCUCGCCUUCUAAAAUGUUCACUUGAUCUCCCACAAGUCAUCUUGAUUCUCUCCACGAUCAUAAAGGCUGUAUAGAUUGCUUGGUGUCUGAAGUUCCUCCGAACGGUAAGGAUAUGGAAGACAGAGGUGCAGAGAAGAAAAGACCGGUAGAGAGGAGAGUCAGUGCGAAGCUUCAGAACCGGCCGAAGAAUAAAAGGCCUUAUUAGGGCAGUAACCUGGAGGAGGAAUCAGAUUCAGCCAUGGAAGGUAGAAUUGGCAAGAACAAAAUUAAAGUGUACAGGAGGAGAACAACGGCUUUUGCAAAUUUGGGUGGAAUAACAGCAAUAGAAGGGAGAGCAGGCCCUUUCAAAAGGUGGACGCCUGGCAUGGCUUAUGCCUCAGCUCAAGUGUGCUCCUUUUUUAAAUAUGCCUUUUUUCUUUUUUCUUUUCUUUUCCUUUUUUUUUUGUAAACUUAUGUGUUUUACACUUUUGUAAUGGUUUAGCAAUUUCUAAGUUGCCUUUUUUUUUUUUGAGAAAAAGGCAAAGUAUACUUGUAUUACCAAUGAAAAUGGGAGGAACUCCCAAUACAGUGAGUGUACAAUGUGUGGGAAAUUCACAAACCAUCAAAAAGUAUGUUAGAUGCAAAAGGGAAUCUGUAGAUAGAUUGGAAGCUUUAUCCCACAGAAAGA